UUUUCCUCAGUUCUCCCGUUCUCCGCGUCCCGCCCCGCCCUUCGUCACCAACGGAACCAGAACUCGGGCUUCAGGCCCAGCCAGGUGUGCUUUAGCCCCCGCACUCUCCGCCUCGGAGGCGCCAGGGGCGCUCUGCUCGCGCUCGCACAGGCUCUCCCAAUAUCCAGUCUCCGGAGGUGAUCAGCUGUGGUUCCACCGCGCUGUGGUUGGCAGGCCCCAGUUCUACAAAUAUAGCUGUACUGGAGAGAGCAGAAGAGAAAAGAAUAUUGUGGGGGCUCAGAGGAAAGCAAAAGAAGUGUUGACAUGUUGAAAGGAGGACACGGAUGUUAAAAAAGCCUCACAUUUCCUGGAUGAAGAUGAUGUUCUCACUUUAAACAAGGACAGAGCAAAGGAUUUUAAGGAUGAGAGGAGUUACAAAGCAAAUGUCUCCUCUUGCAGAUCUUUAACUUGAUUUAAAAGAAUUCAGUCCAAAUCCUUUGACAAUUGGAUUGGCAAACGAAAAUCAUUGGACUAGCCACUGUCUUUGUGAGAGACUGCUCGAAUGAAACCAACAUGGGAAAUGAAAGACCUCAAAUGGAGGAAGAAUAAAUCACUUUGACACUGUUCAAGACUGAGGGUGAUAAAUGGCAAUGAACACGGUUUCCUGCUGGCUGUCCCUGACCAGUGCCAACUCACUUGUGCUUUAUAUGUCUUACAUAUUGAUGCUCACAAAUUUGAAGUGUAAGUUACUAGAGGUCUGUAUGGUAAGGACAAUAGCAAAUGCUUUUUCAAAAAUCAGUAACAUCAUUGCCAAGCAUGGCCUAUUCUAUCCAUUUCUGCUCAUCCUGUAAGACUAAGGAAAAGAUAUAUACAGUUUAUUAGGCAAUUGAGUUUUGAGAAUAGUUCCAUCUUUUUUGAAACAUUAAUAUAGAUUUAGAGACUUGUUUUCAUUAAAAUUGCUGGUUGGAAAUGUCUGCAAUGUAUCUUUAUUAUGAUUGAUUUACAAAUACUGUGUAUAAAUAUCAAAU